rnacentral:rRNA from 1 species
UACAGAGGGUGCAAGCGUUGUUCGGAAUUAUUGGGCGUAAAGCGCGUGUAGGCGGCUUUGCAAGUCGGGUGUGAAAGCCCUCAGCUCAACUGAGGAAGUGCGCCCGAAACUGCAGAGCUUGAAUACCGGAGAGGAUGGCGGAAUUCCCCAAGUAGAGGUGAAAUUCGUAGAUAUGGGGAGGAACACCGGUGGCGAAGGCGCAGUCUCGAGGC